rnacentral:lncRNA from 1 species
AACAAAACCAAAAGGUUCCUUAGCUCAGAUUUCAGUCCUGAUUUCUUUGUUGUUGUUAAGUUUUUAUUGUUGUUUCGUUAUGCAGCUCUGACUGCACUAGGAUUCACUAUGUAGACCAAGGUGGCCUCAGACUCUCAGAAGUCUGUCUGCCUCUUCCUCCUAUGUAACAGAAUUAAAGGCGUGUACCAUCAAGCACACCCUGCUCCUUUAAAGAAAGAUUUGUAUUUUGUGUGUGUAUAUGUGUUGUUUUGCCUGCAUUUGUAUAUUAUGCAUUUAGUGCCUGCCCAGUGCCUGUGGAAGCCAGAAGAUGGAGUUGGAUUCCUGGGAACUGGUGUUACAGAGGGUUGUGAGCCACUGGGUGGAUGCUAAGAACUGACUCUGGGACCUUAGCAAACACAACAAGAGAGCCAUCUACUGAGCCAUCUUUCCAGACCCUUCCUUCUUUUUAUAUUUUUAAAAAUUCAAAGUUCCAGAGCUGUGAUUCUUGUAGUGAUCAUAGAAAGAGUAUUGAAAGAUGUCAAGUAGUCACUGGCUGUUCUAAUUAGGCUGCCCUGCCUCUAAAAUAAAACACUGACCAAACCAACUUGGGGAGGAAAGGGGUUACCUAGAUUAAACUUCCAUGUCACAAUCAUCAUUCAGGGAAGGCAGGUCAGGAAUUCAAGGCAAGAACUGAGACAGGCCAGGGAGGACACUGCUUACGCGCUCGCUCUUGUGAUGUGCUCAGGAUCACCGGCCCAGGAGUAGUGUUGCCCAUGAUGCACUUGGGACCUUUUGAAUCAAUCAUUAAUC